GACGAACGCUGGCGGCAGGCCUAACACAUGCAAGUCGAACGAGUGGCGGACGGGUGAGUAAUGUCUGGGAACCUGCCUGAUGGAGGGGGAUAACUACUGGAAACGGUAGCUAAUACCGCAUACCAUCGGAUGUGCCCAGAUGGGCUUAGCUAGUAGGUGGGGUAAAGGCUCACCUAGCCGACGAUACCUAUCUGGUCUGAGAGGCUGACCGGCCACACUGGAACUGAGACACGGUCCAGACUCCUAGGGGGGGCAGCAGUGGGGAAUAUUGGACAAUGGGCGCAAGCCUGAUGCAGCCAUGCGGCGUGUAUGAAGAGGGCCUUCGGGUUGUAAAGUACUUUCAGCGGGGAGGCGUUACCCGCAGAAGAAGCACCGGCUAACUCCGUGCCAGCAGCCGCGGUAAUAC
rnacentral:rRNA from 1 species